UUUUUUUUUUUUUUUUUUUUAUGAAGGGAACAUUCCUGAAACCAUCGAAGAGGCAAAAGUCCAAUAUAAGAAUUUCUAGAAUACAGCCCCAUUGAAGAACUAGGUUGUGAGAUUAAGAAUGUGUCUCACAAAGGAAAAUGUUUGAUUCUACCUUGCAAAUAUAAAAAAAAUAGUAGUUUGGUCAAACAUGAAAUCAGCCCAAAUACCUAUAGUCAUAGACUAAAGUUUCUUUGCCUUCAUUGGUUGUUUUUUUGUUGGUGGUUUUUUUGUUUGUUUGUUUGUUUGUUUUUUGGUUUGUUUGUUUUGGGGUUUUUUUUUGGUCUAAAUCUAGCUGGUUGUUGUGCUUUGGGCCAGACAGAAUAAGGGGAACGCUUUUGGUAAUUUUUCCAAGACAAAAAGCCAUUUUUCUGGGAGUUUGCUAAAAUAGGCUCAGGUCACUCUGCAGUGCAAGUGCUUGGUGUCCUUCUUUCUAUGGGGAGAAAUGGAUUGCUCUGGACAUUAAAAAUUGACCUCUCACUGGUAAGUGAUUAAGACAUACUGUGGAGGGAGUGCACCAUAGACACCAUUUCUUUUAGAUUCUGAAGUCAAACUGAAAGGUAGUAUAGCCACCAUUAACCUAAAAAAAGACCCUUACUUCUGUGGAAAAAAGACUUUUUUAAUGUAUUUAUUACAGAUUUAAAAUCUGGAACAUGAAGGCAAAGUUGUCAGCGUUGUAGUUUCUUUUUUUCUUAAUGUGAGGCUAAGUCAAUAUUUGGAAUCAUCUCAAGAAAACCAUAGACUCCUCCAAAGAAGGGACUAAUUUGAUCUCAAAUAUAUUUGCUUUAACUAUUCCAAACCAACAAAUACUGAUUUAGUCAUUAUAUAUGUUUUUCUUGAUGUAUCGGAUAUUAUAUGAAACAUUAAUUCUGUUAAACUAUUAGUCUUAUUAAGUUCUGGGAAUUCCUCUUUAGAUUAGUGAUAUUGUACCCAUCAAAGAAAUGUUAAGUAGCUUUCAAAUUUUACUUUAGAUAAAGACGUAUUUCUCAUUUUGAAUUCAUGUUUUGUUUCAUAAGGUAUCUUCAAACAAAUAACUGUUUUGUCUGUGUAAUUAGACUAAAUUUCAACCAAUUUAGCUUUAAACACCUGUGGUAUCUAACUAGGAGCCUUCUCUCCCUGAGUUCUUGGAGUCAAUAGAGGGAGAAACAGCUCCAGAAAGCAAUCUAUCCUACCUACAAUCUCAGUGUAUGUAGGCAGGUGCCAAUUGCCUAUAAAAGGCAGUCUGGGAUGGCUGUGGUCCUUAAGUUAUGAGUCUUUGCAUUAGGAUACUUUGCAUUUAGGUAAAAUGGUCCUGAGACUUAAAGCCUGAGCCAGUCUGCUGCAUCAAAAGGAAACUACCCUGGACUUGAAAUGUCUUUAAGCUCACAUCCUUAGAAAGAGAAACUAAGAGUAAAUUCAAGCAGAAAACUAAUUAAUGACUACAGUUCACACUCCUGGUUGCACUGAAGCACUUUGGGAAGCCUAUGACAAAGAUGCCACUUGCCAGACUUACUCUGCAUUGCCACUGCCACAUUCCUAAGCACAUGCAGAAUCUUCAGUGUCAUCAAACACUCCUGUUUCACUCCACAAACAAAAUUUUAAAAAUAAUUUUUUUUUUUUUUACUUCACAGUUUUUGACUUAACUGUCUUUUUUAUUUUUGUUCUCUAUAAUAUACAGCAUGGCAAUCUUUCAAUCUGCAUCCAAACAUUACCAUUUUAGAUACUUCUUUUUACUUUGUAUUCCAGGAAAUGUAGGGUUUGGAUGCUAGCCACCUUCCUCUGCUCCUGCAAAAACCUCACAACGAUCAAUGGCUCCCUGCCUAAUUAGUCCCAUCUCUCUUAUACUGUGAAUCCUUUCUAAACUGUUUUGUUACUAGAUUGGCUCUGCUCUUCAAUACCUGACAUGGAGGGUACCCAGAGAGGAGUAUUGCAGCUCUGACUGAGAGUGACUGCAAUUGUAUCCUUCCCAUUUUUAAUAACUGGUUUCUGUUCCAGCAAAACUUCUAUCAUUUCAAGUUUCAGCAGCUUUAUAGGAUUCCUAUAUAAAAGAGAUGAAUAUGUGCAAAAAUAUAGUUAAUAGAAACAAUGUGUCAUUCACUGGCACAGAUGAAUAUAGAACAUUUUUCAGAAGUUAGCAGAUUGAAUACAGUUAUUAUCUUGCAUUGCAAAUCGCUUCCUUAGUCCAUCCAGCUCUUAGCAAAGAAAGAAGCCUGAGGUCAGGCAGUCUGGCAUGAAGCUGGUAACUCUUCAAAACUGAGAACAUCUGGAGAGCUGCCUGUAGGGGCACCUUUUAUGCCAGUAAUUGCUAAUAGCCCCUGUACCACAGUUCAGAACAGGAAAUAGAAACCUUCUUUCAUGUUAAUGAUUGCUUUCUAAUUGCAUAAACAGCAAUGAGAUAGCAGUCAUUUAUAGAAGCUACUCCUCCAGCUCAGGGAGGAAAUAAUUUUUUUGUGGUGUUUCUGGUGGCAUUGCUGUGGUGAGUGUUGAGUCCAAGCUUCCAAAAGGGAGAAAGAAUAAAAUAAAAUAUAUUUUCAGCAAAACUGAAGCAUUACUCAUUGGUGGUUUUUUUUGCAUUAAAUUAAUUUUAAAAUAAAAUGGAAAAAAAAAAAAAAUACAAAUCAGAAAAUCUGGCGCUUUUUUCACUUUGGUUUUAUUAGCCUGGAGCAGAGUCAACAGUUUACAAAUCCUGAGAAACAUUUAGUUAGACUUGAUAUCAUGGUUACUGCAUCUCAUAUGAUCCUUGAAGUUGUAAAAUCAAGAUAUUACAAUCAAAAACUUUCCUAAACUUAGUAUCAUUAUGAUCUAUAUAGUCCCAAAAAGAUACACGUCACAGAAGAUGUUAGAUUUACGAGUUAUUUAUUGUCAUCACAAAAUUAAACAAAUAUUUUAUUGUAUGAUUAGCAAUACUUCACCUCAAAGACAGUUUUCAGCACAGGCUAUUCAGUUAUAAGUUAUGCUGCUAAGACAGUCUGACAGCUUGCACAAUAUUGUUGCUGUCCAAGUUAAAAGAAGUAUGCUUCAAUGAAAUCAUACUUGCUUCAUAGGAGGCCAUAGCUUUGUUUACCAAUUAAAGACAAUCUUACUGUAAUUUCAUCAUUCAUAAAUCAAAUAGCAACAAAAUAUCUAAUUUGAAUUAUAACAUUUUUAAAGCAAGAUCAUAAGAAACCAAAUCAUCACAAUGUCAGACCUUCAGUUUCCUUCAAGAUUUGUAUGUAGCAUUGCCCAGUCAUUUAAAAAGGAUUGCUAUAUAACAUAAAACAGCCUCAAGAAUACAGUAGUUAGGAUGUAGAUAUUUUGUAUACAAUGUGUGAAUCAAAAAAAAUCAAAACAUAAGGCUGUUCAAUCGAAUUAAAAUUAAAGCAAUACAAAGCAGAAGUGUGAAACACUAGACAGUAGACACAUUUCUAUAAAUACAGCUCUGUAAGAAGAAAUAAAACCACUUGUUUAGUAAAGAUCCCAAAAACACUGAGAGUUUGAAAAUGGUUGAAGUCCAUUUACAGCUUCUGGUCUGCUUUCAUUAUCCUCUGCAAACCGGUCAUAUGAUUCACUAUGAGUUUUGUCAUUUAAUUUUAUCUGUUAUACUGAAUGGAAAUGUUGUCUAGAUGGGACAGCAGUCCUUCCAAACCCCUUACUGUACUCUUCUAUUUCAUCCUCCAGUUAUAGCAAUUAGGGCAGAAGGUAAUGUAACAUGGAAGGCUUUAAAAAAAAAGAGUAGCACCGUGCAGCGUAACUACUGAUGUCUGAUUCCCGACCCGUUCUAUGUCUAAGGAAGGGUGAUCUCAUUAGCUUCCUUCACAGUGAAUAAUAAUAGGAUGUUUAGUCUCCAGCCACUUGCUAGUUUUCAUGACAUUAUAAACCUGCUUAUCUUUAGUCUUUUACCCCUCUAAAAUUACACUCAAGAAUUAGUGUGAGUUUGACAGACAGAGUGACAUUGGAAAUUACUGUAUUCACUCUAUUUUGAAAUUUACUCAAUUAACCUGGAAAACCAUUCAACAAAUUGCCAUUUUUCUAUAUUUUGAUGGUUCAUCCUGAGAAAUUCUGUCCAGCUUGCUCAAGAAAAGAGAGAUCUGGACACAUUGUUUUCCAUUCUCUUUAUAGACUUUGACAUUUCACCCCCUUUAGGUGAAACUGGUUACAUUAGGCAGUUGCAAUUAACAGCACAAAGGCUGCCCUUGUCUGGUUGCCAUAACCGUGAACUACAUCAAAGGAUUAUAACUGAGAAGUGUGAAUCCCUCUGCAGCUUUUCCACAGCUGCUAGAGUAAAUAAUUGCAGCCACUAGCCCGAGGUGUGUGCAGAUCAGCUGUUCUUGAGCACCAGCCCUUUAGUGGCCUAUCCCCUUCUGAGACCCUAGUCCAGACAGCUCAAGCACUUUGUAGCUUUUUGGGAUCUCAGGAAAGCAUUCCAUAACAGACUUGUGUGCAUGUGUGCACAUGUUUAGGAGAACACCAUAAAAACCAAGCACACUAUAGGUUGUUCAUUAUCAUCAUGAUUUAUUAUGAAAAAUGCCUAUUUCAAAGGUAGAAUUAGUUGUUAAUAUCAUUCAUAUUGCUGACAAACUCUUUCUCUUAUGAAAGAAACACUUUUUCUAUCAUAAAUAUUCUCCUGAUCUCUUUUCUUUGACUGACAGAAACAAAGUGCAAUAAAGAAUUAAUGUUUCUUUUUUUUCUGUUUAAUGUCAUCAUGAGUGUACCUGCCUUUCUUCUGAAUUCAUGAUCUCCUAUUGUGUUUCAUUGCAUAUGGAAAGCUCAAAUACAUAUCUGGUUACAUUUAUUCAACCUUUUAGGAAAUUACAGAAUCCAAUAUUAUGUUUGAAUAAUAGAUAUUUUGCCAUUUGGUUUGUUGAAAUGUAAAUACCAUGACUCUAUGUAAAACAGAAAUGACAGAUGGAGAAAGUUGUACAUGCAUACACUCUCAUAGAAAAGUGAGAAAUGUGUGUUUGUGUCAUUUCAAGCUUGAUCUAGAGAAGUUUCGCAUACAGAAAUACAUUUUUUCAUGGUAAAAGGAAAGGUAGAUAGACUACAGUUAUUGUUUUCUGGAUUUCUUUGUUUUGUAUUAGAUAUGUAGUUGCCAAGAUGGUACCUUUUCAAAGAAAAGAUUCUAUAGUUGGCAGUAGAAUAGUAGAAUUGCAAAUAACUGCUUUUAUUUAAUUUUUCCCCCAGUUCAUUCCCUGAACAAAAGAACUAUAUACCCCCAAAACACUGUUGUAUAUUGACCCAGAGCUAAAGUUCAUUAAUUACACCACUGAAAGAAAAGAAUGAAAUCAAAUUAACAUAGUCACAAAAUUUUGUUAGAAAUAUUUCAUUUGGAUUUUUUUACUUUAAUUUUUCCUGAAUUUUGGCAUUUAAUAAAAUAAAAAGUCAUUUCAAAACAAUGAAAAAUAAAUGUAAAAAAAACAGGUUCUCAUAUUUCCCCUUUCAUACAAAUCUGUCAAAAGUUAUUUUUACCCAAAGGCUUUUUUCAGAGAAAAAUAAAAAUCAUAAACAGAGAUUUCCUAUUAGCUGUAGACUUUUCAAAACUUAUUACUUAAUUUUAUCUUUGAUAGAGGUUUUGUAUUUGGUUCUGGUCUGUAGUAACAGCUAAUACAAAGGUUGCUGUCCGUGUAAGUACCACAAGUUUUAGCAGGGCUUGUUGUGAACACAGGGAGAUUCAUUGCAGAAAUCUUACUGGAGAAACAAGGCCCAGUUUUAAAAUAUGAUUCCUUGUGCAAGGACCCAUCUGUAAGCAAGAACUUACCCACAGUGAAUGUUGUCUUAGGAAAGAAACCUGUGGGAUAUGGAAGCCACUUGGAAAAUCCUUUAUUAUUUGAUGAAAAAUAUGCAUGCUUCCCUUACAGCUUUGUGCUAUGCUGUUCAGUUAAGACUAUAAUUGUGAAAGUAAACAUUUUUUAGGCUUUCAUCCUCCCAGCAACUGAAAACAUGAUUAAUGCUACACUCAUUAAUAGGUAUCUUUACCCUGAAGAGCUAUCCAGAAUAUAUGCAUAAGUUUCAAAAUAGUUGUAUGAAAACUUACUUGUGUCUUGAACACUCUUUAUCUCUAUUUUUAUGCUGGCUGAGUGUUUUAUGUUUUACAGUGCAACUAAUACAUGUAAUAAGCCAAUAAGGGUUCUGAUUAUACUUCUGUAACUCUUACUCCUUGACAUGAAAUCUUUCUCCUACUGUGUAAGUAAGAUUAAUUUGUAAUUUUAUAUGCUUACUGACAUCUCCCACAGUGUUCAAAGUAGGCUAAAUAUGUAACGUCUUGAGUACAACUUAGGCCUAAAUUAUAGAAAUUAAACAGCCUUGUCCACACUAUUUCAUAUGACUGUAGCUAAGAGAAAAAAAAAAGAUCACUUUGUUUAUUGUUCAGGAAAAUACAAAUAAACAAAAAAACCCAAACUCGUGACUUGGUAGGUUUACAAAUGUCAGCUGCAAAGAACAGCUUUUUUUUUUUUUUGCUAGUGACAAUGGGAAAUCCUAAUAUUUAUAUUUGAUGGCAUUGCAAGGUUAUAAUGAAGACUGUUAGCAACAUGAAUUGUUACUCAGUGUUAAUAAAGAAUCAGCUCUAGGGAGGAAGCUGAAGAUGCAGAGGCUCUCUAAAGGCACAUUACAUGGUGGGAUGCAUCUCAUCUAAGUUUUAUCACCUUAAAAUGAAGAACUGAAUUCAAGACAGUAUUCUGAGUUCUUGUAUUCUUGAUAAAGGCAAGUAAUUGCAUCUCACCUUUUCUUGCAGUAUUAUUCAGUGGAUCGUCUUUUACUCCUAUUAUUUGUUAUAUUACUGAAUAAAAGAAAAAUAGUAAAAUGGAUUCCAGGAGGUUUUAAUGAGCUAUCUGUAAAUCCCUUUUGCAUAAAGGGUUAUUUUGUGAGAGCAAGAGGACAGCCUUAAAAUACUUGUUACUCAUUAAAACAUAAAAAAGGUUGUGUACUAAAAAGUGAAUCACGGCCUCAAACAGAAAAAUCUACUGAUGUGCUGCAAAGCUGUUUAUAUCAUAUGUCCUAAGUCACCAUUCCUUCCGUGUCAUGUAAACACUGUUAGAAAAUCCUAUGCUAUUGCACGAACCUUCCAUGCAUAUAACGUAGUGUAGAAAAGGGAAACUACAGCUUUGAUAGGAUUAAAUUAUACAACUAAUCCUUUUUGUUCCAGAUGUCAAUACGUAAAAGCAAUAUCAGAGACUCAAAUGCAGAACCUGAUAUAUAAUUUUAAUCCCUCUUCCUGUGCUGCAGGUUACAGAUUUGGAAAUUAUAGCAUGUAGAAGCUUCUAAAACUGGACUUCUUUCUCAUUAUUUAAUAUCCACUACUGAUAAUAGUAAACAUUUUACUGAGUUCUUUUGGAAUUCAGUGUGUCAGUACUAAAUGAAUUGCAAAUUGGUUAUACAAAAUGAUGGAGAGAGUUCAGCAUUUUAUGGCAGGUGAAAAGCAUGUCACACAUACUGACUUUCCAUCUGUGACGGCAUACCUAGACAUUGCCAAACUAAAAACUAGGCAGCAUGCAACCCCUGAGAAGAAAAAGUGCAAUGUGCAUUUAAUUUCACCAAGAGAAUCGGCACAUGCCACAAAAUACAUAAACAAUUAUUUCAAAAUCACUAUUUUAUGUGAAUGAAUAUAGGUAUGCCUAUGUGUAUACACACAUACAUAUGUAUGAAUUCUAUAUGUGUAUGUAUUAUUUGCUUGGGUAUUGUGUUUCUUUCUUGUAGAGACAAUCUUGUGUGACUGUAACAGCUUACAUGUUAGGUAUAUGCUAGAGUGCACUUUUUGCAGAUGCCAAAUGGCAAAAGUAUAUAUACAUUCUAUAACAUCUAUACAGAGUCUGAUAAUUUUCUAGUGCAGAGAAGUUCCUCAUUGUGUGAAGAUUGCAAAAAAAAAAAAAAAAAAAAAAA
rnacentral:lncRNA from 1 species